UUUUUUUUUUUUUUUGGGUGCAAGUCAUAUGAGCAUAUCAAUGAAAAAUUGACAUAUAGCAUUUUCAACCAAAAAAAACAAAGAAAUCAUGUAAUGAUUUGUGCCUCCUUCCAUCGUCUGAACUUGUCCAAGCAAAAAAGAAGAGAGGUGGUGUUGAUGGGGAACAAAGCUCCAUUGCUAGCACUUAAUAGUGCCACCGGGGUCUUGUGCAAGGGCAUACAAAGCCAGGAUUUUGGCUUUCUAGCAUAUAAAUUGAACAAAAUGCCAUAAAAUAAGCAAUUCAGGAGAAGUCUAAAGGGACUAUGAAAAUUAAAACAGGCAGUGACUUGUCAAAAAGGGCAGCAGACCCCACAUUUUCUUUCCGCCCCAUUGAUGUUGAUGAACAUGGGCAGGCCUAUACCUUGCCAUCUCUUGAAAGAAGCUUCUUUGAACUUUCUGCAAAAGCCAUUAAUCAUUUAUAAAGACAAGGAUUAUUUCAACUACCAUAAUCAUUGCAUUUAAGAGAUAAAUUAGCAGACAAAGCUGAGACAACUUUCUUCCUCUCGGUCUCUCUUUACUUCGUGUAGCUCUUUGGUGGAAUUCAGGUUCUAAUAACAAGAUUGUGCCCACCAUGACACUGGUAGACCCUAUAGGCUCAUUACCCAGCUAAGAUUUCCAGCUAAACCCCAAUUAUAUCAUGCCAUGUGACUUCUUUAUAUCCAUGUGAGUCCUUUGAAAAUUUUCCGGUCUGGGAGGACCACAGUGUCAUCCAGUGGAAGCUCAUUGGACCUUCUUUAUAUCCCCAUUAGGUGCCAUCUCACUUAUGUUGACUCUUGGAGUACUAAUAUCAU
rnacentral:lncRNA from 1 species